rnacentral:rRNA from 1 species
AGCGAACGCUGGCGGCAGGCCUAACACAUGCAAGUCGAACGGAUCCUUCGGGAUUAGUGGCGGACGGGUGAGUAACACGUGGGAACGUGCCCUUUGGUUCGGAACAACUCAGGGAAACUUGAGCUAAUACCGGAUGUGCCCUUCCGGGGAAAGAUUUAUCGCCAUUGGAGCGGCCCGCGUCUGAUUAGCUAGUUGGUGAGGUACCGGCCCACCAAGGCGACGAUCAUGAGCUGGUCUGAGAGGAUGAUCAUCCACACUGGGACUGAGACACGGCCCAGACUCCUACGGGAGGCAGCAGUGGGGAAUCUUGCGCAAUGGGCGAAAGCCUGACGCAGCCAUGCCGCGUGAAUGAUGAAGGUCUUAGGAUUGUAAAAUUCUUUCAGCGGGGACGAGAAUGACGGUACCCGCAGAAGAAGCUCCGGCUAACUACGUG